rnacentral:lncRNA from 1 species
ACCCUAGGCCUGCCUGCUAGCCCUAACAGGUUAAGAGCCAAUACAUUUGUUUGUGGUGUCUUUCCAAUAGGUGAUAUAUAUUUAGCUUUUUGCUUUGUGAUGAUUUGGUUGGGCCAGAUUUUCUGACUGCUGUCCUGAGUGUUGGUUUGGGUUAGUGAACUGAGCCUCAGAACCAGCUGGCUGAGUGCUGUCCUGAGGCUCUAUGGGGUUGGUUUGGGUUAGUGAACUGAGCCUCAGAACCAGCUGGCUGAGUGCUGUCCUGAGUCUCUAUGGGAUUGGUUUGGGUUAGUGAACUGAGCCUCAGAACCAGCUGGCUGAGUGCUGUCCUGAGGCUAUAUGGGGUUGGUUUGGGUUAGUGAACUGAGCCUCAGAACCAGCUGGCUGAGUGCUGUCCUGAGGCUCUAUGGGGUUGGUUUGGGUUAGUGAACUGAGCCUCAGAACCAGCUGGCUGAGUGCUGUCCUGAGUGUUGGUUUGGGUUAGUGAACUGAGCCUCAGAACCAGCUGGCUGAGGGGACUCUUCUCUGGUUUCAUCUCUUGACGUUGUAGAGCUGUGUGAUGGAAUGUUUUUUGGGUCAUUUGUUUUUAGAUGGUUGUAAAAUUUGAUGGCUCUUUUUUUCUAUUCGAAUGAGGAGGGGGGUAUCGGCCCAAUUCUGCUCUACAUGUGUUAUUUGGAGUUUUUCUUUGCACUUGCAAUACAGUCUGGCAAAACUCUGCAUGCAGUAUUUCAAUUGGAUGUUUGUCCCAUUUGGUAAAUUCAUUGUUAGACAGUGGACUCCAUACUUCACUGCCAUAUAGAGAAAUUGGUUCUAUAACUGAUUGGAACAUUUUCAGACAAAUUGUAAUUAUAAAUUUGAUUUAAUGUUCCUUUUAAUGGCAUAGAAUGCUCUUCUUGCGUUGUCUCUCAGCUCAUUCACAGCCAUCUGAAAGCUUCCUGUGUUGCUGAUAUUUAGUCCUAGAUAUGUGUAGUUUUUGGGUGUGUUCUAAUAGAACUGUGUCCAAAUAGAAUUUAUAUUGGUCAUCCUGACUUCCGAACCUUUUUUUGAAUAUCAUUAUAUUUGUUUUCUUUAGAUUAACGGUCAGAGCCCAGGUCUAACCUGUGAUUAACGGUCAGAGCCCAGGUCUAACAGAACCUGUGGUUAAUGGUCAGAGCCCAGGUCUGACAGAACCUGUGGUUAACAGUCAGAGCCCAGGUCUAACAGAACCUGUGAUUAACGGUCAGAGCCCAGGUCUGACAGAACUAGUGCAGAUGAUCUAGGUGCUGCUGUAAACCCUCCUUAGUGGGAGACAGUAGCACCAGGUCAUCUGUCUACAGCAGACCCUCCUUAGUGGGAGACAGCAGCACCAGGUCAUCUGUCUACAGCAGACCCUCCUUAGUGGGAGACAGCAGCACCAGGUCAUCUGUCUACAGCAGACCCUCCUUAGUGGGAGACAGCAGCACCAGUUCAUCUGUCUACAGCAGACCCUCCUUAGUGGGAGACAGCAGCACCAGUUCAUCUGUCUACAGCAGACCCUCCUUAGUGGGAGACAGCAGCACCAGGUCCUCUGUCUACAGCAGCCCCUCCUUAGUGGGAGACAGCAGCACCAGGUCAUCUGUCUACAGCAGACCCUCCUUAGUGGGAGACAGCAGCACCAGGUCAUCUGUCUACAGCAGACCCUCCUAGUGGGAGACAGCAGCACCAGUUCAUCUGUCUACAGCAGACCCUCCUUAGUGGGAGACAGCAUCACCAGGUCAUCUGUCUACAGCAGACCCUCCUUAGUGGGAGACAGCAUCACCAGGUCAUCUGUCUACAGCAGACCCUCCUUAGUGGGAGACAGCAGCACCAGGUCAUCUGUCUACAGCAGACCCUCCUUAGUGGGAGACAGCAGCACCAGGUCAUCUGUCUACAGCACACCCUCCUUAGUGGGAGACAGCAUCACCAGGUCAUCUGUCUACAGCAGACCCUCCUUAGUGGGAGACAGCAGCACCAGGUCAUCUGUCUACAGCAGACCCUCCUUAGUGGGAGACAGCAGCACCAGGUCAUCUGUCUACAGCAGACCCUCCUUAGUGGGAGACAGCAGCACCAGGUCAUCUGUCUACAGCAGACCCUCCUUAGUGGGAGACAGCAGCACCAGGUCAUCUGUCUACAGUAGACCCUCCUUAGUGGGAGACAGCAGCACCAGGUCCUCUGUCUACAGCAGACCCUCCUUAGUGGGAGACAGCAGCACCAGGUCAUCUGUCUACAGCAGACCCUCCUUAGUGGGAGACAGCAGCAACAGGUCAUCUGUCUACAGCAGACAUUUGAUUUCAGUGUUGUGUAGGGUGAGACCAGGCGCUGCAGAUUCUUCUACUGUUUUGGCCAAUUCAUUAAUGUCGAUGUUAAAUGGUGUUGGACUUAUUGGACAGCCCUGUUUCACUCCACGUCCCUGAGAGAAGAAGUCUGUUUGCUUGUUGUUAAUUCAUUAAUGUAGACGUUAAAUAGUGUUGGACUUAUUGGACAGCCCUGUUUCACUCCACGUCCCUGAGAGAAGAAGUCUGUUUGCUUGUUGUUAAUUCAUUAAUGUAGACGUUAAAUAGUGUUGGACUUAUUGGACAGCCCUGUUUCACUCCACGUCCCUGAGAGAAGAAGUCUGUUUGCUUGUUGCCAAUUUUUAACCGCACAUUUGUUUUUAGUGUACAUUGAUUUAAUAACGUCUUCAUGUUUUCCCUCCAAUACCACUUUCUAUUAGUCUAUAGAAAAAAACUUUGUGCCAAAUUGAAUCAAAAGCUUUCUUGAAGUCUACAAAACACGAGAAGAUUUUGCCUUUUGUUUUGGUUUACUUUUUUGUAAAUUAGAGUGUGGAGGGUGUAAAUGUGGUCUGUUGUACGAUCAAAAAAAAAUUGAAUCUGGCUUCUGCUCAGGAUGUUUUUUAUUUUUUAUUUAUUUAACCUUUAUUUAACCAUCAAUGAAAUUAUGUAGUCUGCAAUUUAUGGUACUGCACAGAAUUUUCCCCAAGUUGCUGUUAAAGCAAAUUCCUCUGUAAUUAUUUUGGGUCAAAUUUGACUCCAUUUUUAUAGAUUGGUGUGAUCAAUCCCUGGUUCCAAAUAUCGGGGAAAAUACCUGCAGUGAGGAUAAUGUUGAGUAUAUUUGAUCAUUUCAAAUAGCACCACAGGCCUUUUUGGGUUGAAGAGUGCAUAGUUUUUCCAAUAAUUCUUCUUCUGUAAUUGGGGUAUCCACAGGAUUCUGACAGUCUUUGACUGCUGAUUCAAGGAUUUGUAAUUGUUCUUGUAUAUCUUUUUGUUCUGGGCUCUUUGUUAUAUUGCUGUAGAGGUUUGCAAAGUGAUUUCUCCACAUAUCCCCAUGUUGGAUAGCCAAUUCCUCAUGAUGAGGUUUGUUUAAUUUAUUCCAAUUCUCCCAGAAGUGGUUUGAUUCUCUGGAUUCCUCAAUUACAUCCAGCUGUUUUCUAAUGUGCUGUUCCUUUUUUGUUCUUAGGGUGUGUUUGUAUUGCUUCAGUGUUUCCCCAUAUUGAAGGCGUAUAUUUUUGUUGUCUGGUUCUCUGUGUUUUUAAUUAGAUAUAUUUCUCAAUGACUUCCUUAGAUUUCUCCAAUCAUUGUCAAACCAUUUGUCAUUAUCUAUUCUUUAUGGUUUGUUCUUAUGCGUCUUUAGAUUAGCCAAGGAUAAUUUGUAAAAUAUAAAGUUUAUGUUGCAAACGACCAAAUUUACACCUUCAUUGCUGUAGGAGAAUGUUAAGGCUAAAAAGUUGGCUUGGGCCUGAAAGUGACUCAUCUCCCCCUCUAGAAUGGAGAAACUCUCUUCAUUGAAGCAGGGUGACUCUGAGGGGGGAAUGUAUGUGGCACAGAGGAAGACGUUUUUAUCUGUUAAGAUUGCCUCUUUGUUGAUUUUUAACCAGAUAAAGAAUUCUCCUGUGUUGAUCAAUUCGAUUGAAUGAGUUAGUUCAGAUUUAUACCAUAUUAGCAUUCCCCCUGAGUCUCUGCCCUGUCCUGAGUCUCUGCCCUGUCCUGAGUCUCUGCCCUGUCCUGAGUCUCUGCCCUGUCCUGAGUCUCUGCCCUGAGUCUCUGCCCUGUCCUGAGUCUCUGCCCUGUCCUGAGUCUCUGCCCUGUCCUGAGUCUCUGCCCUGUCCUGAGUCUCUGCCCUGUCUUGAGUCUCUGCCCUGCCCUGACUCUCUGCCCUGAGUCUCUGCCCUGUCUUGAGUCUCUGCCCUGUCCUGAGUCUCUGCCCUGUGUGAUUCCUUUUAAUUAGGUGUUUAUCAUUUAAGAUAGCAUUUGUGUUAUGCCACUUGGGUGGAUGUAGUGUGAGGAGGGUGGAGUUGUUGUGCUCAUCUUAAUAUGACCCUCGGCCUAUCACAUGUGAGCAUCCAUGACCCUCGGCCUAUCACAUGUGAGCAUCCAUGACCCUCGGCCUAUCACAUGUGAGCAUAGUAGACUUAGCAUGUGUUUAAUGUCACUCAUUUGGUUGAUGGGGGCUGGGCCAGUCGCCUCCUUUCACAGACUGUGCAUAGUUCUGCCUGCUGGGCUGUGACUCCUCCAGGUGUGGGUCUGCAGUGGG